GGACUACCCGGGUUUCUAAUCCUGUUUGCUCCCCUUGCUUUCGCGCCUCAGCGUCAGGUAUAAGCUAGAAAACCGCUUUCGCCACAGGUGUUCUUCCACAUAUCUACGCAUUUCACCGCUACACGUGGAAUUCCGUUUUCUCCGCCUACCCUCUAGAUUGGCAGUUUCAAAUGCAGCUCCGAAGUUGAGCUCCGGAAUUUCACAUCUGACUUACCAUUCAGCCUACGCGCCCUUUACGCCCAAUAAAUCCGAUUAAUGCUUGCACCCUCCGUAUUACCGCGGCUGCUGGCAC
rnacentral:rRNA from 1 species